CGGGACGUAGCUCAGCCUGGUAGAGCACCGCGUUUGGGACGCGGUGGCCGGCGGUUCGAAUCCGCCCGUCCCGA
rnacentral:tRNA from 1 species